rnacentral:rRNA from 1 species
UACAGAGGGGGCAAGCGUUGUUCGGAAUUACUGGGCGUAAAGGGCGCGUAGGCGGCCACCUAAGUCAGACGUGAAAUCCCUCGGCUCAACCGGGGAACUGCGUCUGAUACUGGGCGGCUUGAAUUCGGGAGAGGAAUGCGGAAUUCCAGGUGUAGCGGUGAAAUGCGUAGAUAUCUGGAGGAACACCGGUGGCGAAGGCGGCAUCCUGGACCGAUACUGACGCUGAGGAGCGAAAGCCAGGGGAGCAAACGGG